GCACAAGCGGUGGAGCAUGUGGUUUAAUUCGAAGCAACGCGAAGAACCUUACCAGGUCUUGACAUCCCCUCGACAACCCAAGAGAUUGGGCGUUCCCCUUCGGGGGACAGGGUGACAGGUGGUGCAUGGUUGUCGUCAGCUCGUGUCGUGAGAUGUUGGGUUAAGUCCCGCAACGAGCGCAACCCUCGCCUCUAGUUGCCAGCAUUCGGUUGGGCACUCUAGAGGGACUGCCGGCGACAAGUCGGAGGAAGGUGGGGAUGACGUCAAAUCAUCAUGCCCCUUAUGACCUGGGCUACACACGUGCUACAAUGGGCGGUACAAAGGGCUGCGAACCCGCGAGGGGGAGCGAAUCCCAAAAAACCGAUCGUAGUCCGGAUCGCAGUCUGCAACUCGACUGCGUGAAGUCGGAAUCGCUAGUAAUCGUGAAUCAGAAUGUCACGGUGAAUACGUUCCCGGGCCUU
rnacentral:rRNA from 1 species